UUCCUACGGGGGGCAGCAGUGGGGAAUAUUGCACAAUGGGGGAAACCCUGAUGCAGCGACGCCGCGUGAGUGAAGAAGUAUUUCGGUAUGUAAAGCUCUAUCAGCAGGGAAGAAAGGUGCCCCUUGGGCGCCUGGACGGUACCUGACUAAGAAGCCCCGGCUAACUACGUGCCAGCAGCCGCGGUAAUACGUAGGGGGCAAGCGUUAUCCGGAUUUACUGGGUGUAAAGGGAGCGUAGACGGCAGAGCAAGUCCGGAGUGAAAGCCCGGGGCCCAACCCCGGGACUGCUCUGGAAACUGUUAAGC
rnacentral:rRNA from 1 species